ACCUGGGUGGCUUAGUCGGUUAAGCAUCCGACUUCAGCUCAGGUCAUGAUCUCGCAGUUGGUGGGUGUGAACCCCACAUCAGGUU
rnacentral:tRNA from 1 species